rnacentral:lncRNA from 12 species
CAUAAGUCUACAAGGUCCUCUUAGAGACUUUUCUAGACCUUUACCUACCUUUAUUUGUGCUGCACUUUACCCCGACUGCAUGAAAUCAUUUUUAGGCUCUCUGUAGAAACUAACUAGUAACCUAAAGGAAUUUUACCAAUCUUCACUGUUAAAAGAAUCUCCCUCUUGUAUCAGGAAAAAAAAAAGUCUCUUUCCUCUUGUCUUGUCAUCAUUGAAGAAAGAGGACACCUGGCCAUUACAGAAGAAACCCAAUGAAUCACUCAUUUAAUUUUUUGCUUGUUUAAUUGAGGCAUACUUCACAUUGAUGGAAACAAACUCCAGGGACUUCUCCAAGUUCUUUGAUUACACUGGAAUCUUGAUGAAUCAACCACUUCUUUGAAAUACUAGGACUAUUGCCCAGGAUUUAUAAUCCUUUGUAAUUUUCUUUGUAGUGAUAUUUGGAGUAACUAGAUUCAAACUGCAUGAGAGUCAGCCAUACAAAAUACCAAAGCUCAAGGGGAAAAGCAUCACAUCAUUUGGGUGAGUUACAUUUUGUGAUUCCCUCCACAUAAAGGCUGACAGUAGCUGAAUAAUUUGCCUUUUCUGGAUAUGGAUGUUUUAAUAGGUGAGUCUAUGAGCUCCAGCUUAGGAAACUGAGGACUUAAUU